GAAGUUUCCUGCAGCGUGUCUCAUUAAAGAUGGAGACUUGAAGCAGCUGCUGCAACAAGAGGAACUGAAAACCGAUUCUCUUAAAUGACUCAUUUCACAUUUUCCUGUUUGUUUGUUGGACCCUCAGAAGAAACGUGAAUGUGCAGAUCAGCAUGUGGAGGCUGCAGGGCAGACUCACCCCCAGCAGAACCCUGGUGUAGAACCACUUGUCCGUCAGGAAGGCCAUGUAGAAAUGCACAAACAGGAAGGCGUUGAUCCCGAGCCAGACCAGCUGCAGCACACAUCCACACACACGUCAGGUUCACAGAUUAACAUCCAGAGCGGCAGGAGUCACUCACAACUCAAGGAAACAACUCAAUCAGCUCAGAGGAUCAUAACGUUUUCUGCCUCCGGACACGAAGAAGAAUUAAACAUCGUCGGUGUUUUCAGGACCUGAAAUGUGGACGGUGGUGCAGCGGGGUUCAAGCAGGGUCUUGAACGCGUGUCCCCUUGAGGACAGGUGACGGUUGAGGAGGAACUAGACACUCGAUGGAGACACUGAGGUGGAACCAACACCUGAAGAUCUUGACGCUGGAGCCUCGGACCUCAACUGAGCUGCUUCGAUUAUCGAUCCUCACAAUAACGUGAAGGUCGUGACACAUAGGGAGAGGGUGUGUCAUCAUUUGAAACGCAGUGUUAAACAUCUGUAUGUGGAAGAAGAAGCUUCGUGUGAGCGGCUGCAGACGUUCCUCCAUCCAUCAUGUGUGAGAACAUCAGAGUACAGAUACAGACUGUGGAAUACACCCAACAACUGAAACGUGAUCAGUUGUUAUCGGGGCUUAAGACGGAAACAGCGAUGUGUGUUCUCCAACUCUCACUCUGGAUUAAGGUCCAUCAGAUCACUGCUGAUUGUCCAGAGGAUUUAACUUGGUAGAUUACGUCCCAGCAGCCGAGGUUAAACCCUGAACCGUGAGCGGGAGCUUUUCCUCUUCCCUGCGAGGCCGAGCAAGGCAGCGGUCUCUGUUGUACAGUUUUAUUAAAGAUUGAAGAGCAUGAAUGUACAGUAUAAAUAAUAGUAGAGAUAUGAUCCCAGCUGCAGAUGAUGAACGUGCACGUUAAAGUGCGUCUCUGCCACUUGGCAGGAAACAGAAGAACCUCGCUGGUGACUGAAGCAGCUUCACAAUAAAAUAAAGAAUAAAACAUGCAGAGGAAAUUAAUCUUUAAAGGAAAACAUUUGAAAAAUAAAAGAACCAAUAUGUCUUAUAUAUAGGAAUCUGGUGUGUGUGUGUGUGUG